rnacentral:rRNA from 1 species
AAUUGAAGAGUUUGAUCCUGGCUCAGAUUGAACGCUGGCGGCAUGGCUAAAACAUGCAAGUCGAACGAUUAAAGCUUCUUCGGAAGUGCAUAAAGUGGCGUAAGGGCGAGGAAUAUAUUUCUAUGUACCCCUAAGUCGAGGAUAGCCCAGAGAAAUUUGGUGUAAUACUCGAUGUGGUCUCCGGAUCAAAGAUUUAUCGCUUAGGGAGCAGGGAAUAUCCUAUCAGGUAGUUGGUGAGGUAACGGCUCACCAAGCCAAAGACGGGUAGCGGGUGUGAGAG